UACGGGAGGGUGCGAGCGUUAAUCGGAAUUACUGGGCGUAAAGCGUGCGUAGGUGGUGAGUUAAGUCUGUCGUGAAAGCCCCGGGCUCAACCUGGGAAUGGCGAUGGAUACUGGCUCGCUAGAGUGCGGUAGAGGAGAGUGGAAUUCCCGGUGUAGCAGUGAAAUGCGUAGAUAUCGGAAGGAACACCGGUGGCGAAAGCGGCGUGCUGGAUCCCUACUGACGCUGAGGGCAC
rnacentral:rRNA from 1 species